rnacentral:rRNA from 1 species
UGGGGAAUAUUGCACAAUGGGCGCAAGCCUGAUGCAGCCAUGCCGCGUGUGUGAAGAAGGCCUUCGGGUUGUAAAGCACUUUCAGCGAGGAGGAAGGCAUAAAGGUUAAUAACCUUUGUGAUUGACGUUACUCGCCGAAGAAGCACCGGCUAACUCCGUGCCAGCAGCCGCGGGCAUACGGAGGGUGCAAGCGUUAAUCGGAAUUACUGGGCGUAAAGCGCACGCAGGCGGUUUGUGAAGUCAGAUGUGAAAUCCCCGCGCUUAACGUGGGAACUGCAUUUGAAACUGGCAAGCUAGAGUCUUGUAGAGGGGGGUAGAAUUCCAGGUGUAGCGGUGAAAUGCGUAGAGAUCUGGAGGAAUACCGGUGGCGAAGGCGGCCCCCUGGACAAAGACUGACGCUCAGGUGCGAAAGCGUGGGGAGCAAACA